rnacentral:rRNA from 1 species
GUGAGGAAUAUUGCGCAAUGGAGGCAACUCUGACGCAGCCAUGCCGCGUGCAGGAAGAAGGCGCUACGCGUUGUAAACUGCUUUUAACCGGGAAGAAACCCCAGGACGUGUCCUGGGUUGACGGUACCGGAGGAAUAAGCACCGGCUAACUUCGUGCCAGCAGCCGCGGUAAUACGAAGGGUGCAAGCGUUAUCCGGAUUCAUUGGGUUUAAAGGGUUCGUAGGCGGAGCGUUAAGUCAGUGGUGAAAUCCUGCAGCUUAACUGUAGACUUGCCAUUGAUACUGGCGCUCUUGAGUGCGCUUGAAGUGGGCGGAAUGUGCCGUGUAGCGGUGAAAUGCUUAGAUAUGGCACAGAACACCAAUUGCGAAGGCAGCUCACUAAGGCGAUACUGACGCUGAGGCACGAAAGCGUGGGGAUCGAACAGGAUUAGAUACCCUUGUAGUCC